rnacentral:rRNA from 1 species
GACGAACGCUGGCGGCGUGCCUAACACAUGCAAGUCGAGCGAGAAUCUUAUGAAUGAUCCUUCGGGUGAAUGAUUAAGAGGAGAGCGGCGGACGGGUGAGUAACGCGUGAGUAAUCUGCCUUAAGGAGGGGGAUAACACAGAGAAAUCUGUGCUAAUACCGCAUAACAUAUCUUUACCGCAUGAUAGAGAUAUCAAAACUGAGGUGCCUUAAGAUGAGCUCGCGUCCGAUUAACUAGUUGGUGGGGUAAUGGCCACCAAGGUUACGAUCGGUAGCCGGACUGAGAGGUUGAACGGCCACAUUGGAACUGAGAUACGGUCCAGACUCCUACGGGAGGCAGCAGUGGGGGAUAUUGCGCAAUGGGGGAAACCCUGACGCAGCAACGCCGCGUGAAGGAAGAAGGUCUUCGGAUUGUAAACUUUGUCUUUGGGAAGAUAAUGACGGUACCAAAGGAGGAAGCCACGGCUAACUACGUG